CCCAAGUUAGGCAAAGUAGUUGAAAUACUAGGGUUUACAUAAAUGGGAUACGCCGUCACACUCACGGGGAAUCAGCUCGCAUUUCUUGGUUAUGGAGUUAGACAGCUAUGACUACAGCCACUUAAUAGAGUUGGUAUUCCGAUUUUUUGAGUAACAAUGUCGAGAAAGAUGCAACUCAGAAUAUUCAAAAUUUGAAGAAGUUGGAGAUGUGUUAAAUGAUGCGUGGUGAGUCAAUUGGUGUAGAGCUCUCUCCUAGUAAAGUUUGUUGGCCUUAUUAAAUAAUACGCAUUGUAAAGAAAAUGAUUCUAAGUAACAUCCGAAACUUGAAGUGGUAGGGAAAAAGUUGUAGAUAAGUGCAAAGGUUUCCUUUAGUUCUAAAGACAAUUACUAGUUUAUUAAGUUCCGACUAAGAGGUUGAAGAGCAGACACAUUUUAAGAAGUGAAAUAUGUGGCUUACAAUUUGCUGAGAAGUGAAUGUGGAGGCUCACAUAUUUGACUUUUCAAAUCUCCAACCUCUGAUUUGGAGCUUAAUAGGCCCACAAAUGUCUUUAGAGCUAAGGUCAAACCUUUGCACUUUUCUGCAAAAAAUUUCCAACCUCUUCAAGUGCUGAAAAGUUUCUUAGAAUCCAUGUUUUCAAAUGCGCGUAUUUUUUGUAAAGACUAACAACUUUACUGGACAUAGUUCCCACACUAAUUGGCCACUACCCAUCAUCAAAACAACACUUUUCUUAUGCAAAUUGGCUCACUUUGACUCGUCAACUACAAUGGCAACCUCAUGGAAGAGUACGGAGAUUCCAAAUUUUUAAGCAGACUUCAUCGUGAAAGAUGCAACUUGAAACUGUGAGUUAUGUGCUCCUGACUAACUUUCUUGACUUUUGGAGUUCCUGCACCAUGCUUUUUAUUGUCAUUCUCCAUUACUCUCUUCUUCCUUUUCCCAAUCUCACCCCAACCAAUCUGUAAAGCCAAUUUCCUUCUCUUCCUUGCAAGAUUUCAUAGUUUGUGCAGAAAAUUCUCAUCUCCUGUAAUAUAAAAGUUUAGGUUUACUAAGAAGUUUGGGUAAGUAGUAGCUGUGGUUAAAAUUUGAUCACCUUCUACUUCGUAAAGUUACAGAAGUAAUUAGUUGAUUAUUUUGAUGUAUGCUUCUCUAGAAUUUAUAGGGUGAUAAGGAAAAUUUAGAUACUGUGAAUGUUGGAUGACAUGCUUUUCAAAGAUGGGAAGCGUUUUAGAUUUAUGGCAGGGAUUUGCAUUAUUACUACACGCCACGGUUCUGGAGUUGAUGUAGUCCGUGGCUCUCUUAUAUUUCUUUGAUACUUCAAAUUGAUGUGUAUAAUGUUGUUCCUUUGUAUUUUCAUAUGUGGAAACUAGUUCUUGUGAAAUUACAAUGAAAGGUCAUAACAAGUGAACAUUGAUUUUCUAUAUAUCAUAGACUAGUUUUUGAAGGCAUUGCAGAUAAAUUCUCUCCUACUUGUGGGAUUACACUGGUUUUGUUAUUAUUGCAGAUAAAUUCUCACUUACUGAAAGUGGACUUGUCAUCGUUUAGUGUUUCGUAGAGCUGAGUGGAUGCUGAAACUUUACUUUUAUUUUUUACCCUGUAAUUUUCUUCUGUAAUAAAAUGUUAUGUAUAUACUGAAUUUAGUAGUGGAAAGAUAGACUGCUGAGACAAAGGCAUGUUGCUUGAAUGCACAUAUCUACCAUGGAUUUGCAUAGCCCAAGAAGAAGGCUAACUGGUUUUUGGAAGACUAUACAGUAGCCUCUAAGAUAAAGCCUCCAUAGCAAAAGCUUGAUAUGUCGAGCAUCGUUUGUUGAAGAGACACAUGCAACCACAUCUUCAACAGGCAUUAACCAUCUUCUGGUACCUCGAACGUUUGAAGGUUGAAGAUAGUGUUUGUAAUAGCUUGAGAAUAAUGUAUUGUCAAGCUUGGAUUAGUCCACCAAAACUUAGACCUCUCCAAUGGUAGAUUAAUGAUUGUCUUGUUCAUCAGCUGUUACAGUUAACUUUUAUAACAAUUAAAUAUCUGAAUGUGCAUGAACCGUUGACACUUUUACUGACACCAUUUCAA